AAGGAAUAUUGCUCAAUGGGAGAAAUCCUGAAGCAGCAACGCCGCGUGGAGGAUGAAGGGUCUAUGACUUGUAAACUCCUGUAAAGAAGGAAAAAAUUCCCAUUUGAUGGGAGAUGAUGGUACUUCUGGAGUAAGCCCCGGCUAACUACGUGCCAGCAGCCGCGGUAAUACGUAGGGGGCAAGCGUUGUCCGGAUUUACUGGGUGUAAAGGGUGCUCAGGCGGAUUUGUAAGUCAGAGGUGAAAUCUUACAGCUUAACAGUGAAACUGCCUUUGAUACUGCAAGCCUAGAGUAUGGAAGAGAGUGAUGGAAUAUCUGGUGUAGCAGUGAAAUGCGUAGAUAUCAGAUAGAACACCAAUGGCGAAGGCAGUCACUUGGUCCAUUACUGACGCUAAAGCACGAAAGCGUGGGUAGCAAACA
rnacentral:rRNA from 1 species